rnacentral:lncRNA from 1 species
CCCUAGCAGAAGAGAGUAAUCCUAUAGAAUUUAAGAAGCUGAGUCUUUAAGUCUAUGACCAUAGCAAAGUGAUUAAUAGAAAAGAAUUUUCAUGAGAAUCAUAUAUGGACUCGAGCUGAUUGAAUCUAUCAUAUGACCGAUGAUGAGAUUUGUCGAUUCAUCCAUGAUCUGCCAUUUGAUCGAGACUCACGAUAGAGGGACUGUAUCAUACGAUAACUGCACCUAGAGGAUCA